rnacentral:rRNA from 1 species
GGGGAAUAUUGCGCAAUGGGCGAAAGCCUGACGCAGCGACGCCGCGUGAGGGAUGAAGGUUCUCGGAUCGUAAACCUCUGUCAGAAGGGAAGAAACCGCACCGUGCUAAUCAGCGGUGCAUUGACGGUACCUUCAAAGGAAGCACCGGCUAACUCCGUGCCAGCAGCCGCGGUAAUACGGAGGGUGCAAGCGUUAAUCGGAAUUACUGGGCGUAAAGCGCACGUAGGCUGCUUUGUAAGUCAGGGGUGAAAUCCCACGGCUCAACCGUGGAACCGCCGUUGAUAAGGGCUAGGCUUGAAUCCGGGGGGGGGGGGCGAAUUUCAGGGGGAGGGGGGAAAUCCCGAGGAUACUGGAGGAAAAACAGGUGGGGAGGCCGCCAACUGGAACGGGUAUGGCGGCUGGGGGGGAAAGCGGGGGGAGCAAACA